GGGCUCCGAAAGGAGAGCGUGGUGUCUGGAGGUGAUCGGAAGGGACUGGCUGGAGUGUGGCGGGCUGACAGGUCUGAGGCCUGAAGGACUUCCGGGAACCGCAAAGCACGGUGUGCCUCCGCUGUCCUGAAGAAAAAGCCGCGCGCGGACGACUGGCCGGCCCGCGCUUGCAGCUCCCAGAAGUUGACAGGCAUCCUCCGGUGACCGGUGUGAGUAUGGCAUCAGGAUGAUUUGACUGCAAGCAACAGAAAAAUCAAACAAAAAUGGCCUAAGCCAAGAAGAGAAAUGAUUAUUUCACAUUCCAAGAAGUUUGGGAGUCGAGUGGUUAAACGGCUAAUUAAUCUAGAGCUCAACAGUAUCACCCAGGACCCAUUUUCACUAUGGUGGCUAAAGCUCUGCACCCUUCAGGCUUGCACCAUGGCAGCAGCAGUGACAGUAAAGACACCCUUACACCACAAUGCUCCAUGACCAGGGAGAGGGUCUCCUCUCUCCUGCCCCUUUCUGGAGGCUCCACCGAAGAUUUCUCUUCACAUUCCGUUUCUCAUUCCUGAAGCAGUUGCUGGCAACAGGGAUGGACUUACCGCAAUGGGUACAGAGCAACUAAGAUUCACCACUAGGUGAGUCCUUUGGAAAACACUUGGCCAUCCAAUAUAUAAACAAAUCUGGUACUCCUGUCAGGAAAGAGGUAGGUAAUUCCCAACAGCCAAUAGUGUCUGCCACAAGUGAAAUAUCUCAUCAGAGAAAACUGAGUAGGUAAUACAUGAUUCUGUGUUU
rnacentral:lncRNA from 10 species